rnacentral:rRNA from 1 species
CACGUAGGGGGCAAGCGUUGUCCGGAUUUAUUGGGCGUAAAGAGCUCGUAGGCGGCUUAGUAAGUCGGGUGUGAAACCUCCAGGCUCAACCUGGAGACGCCACCCGAUACUGCUGUGGCUAGAGUCCGGUAGGGGAGAUCGGAAUUCCUGGUGUAGCGGUGAAAUGACGCAGAUAUCAGGAGGAACACCGGUGGCGAAGGCGGAUCUCUGGGCCAGUACUGACACUGAGGAGCGAAAGCGUGGGUAGCAAACAGG